GACGAACGCUGGCGGCGUGCCUAAUACAUGCAAGUCGAGCGAGCGGAACUAACAGAUUUACCUCGGUAAUGACGUUAGGAAAGCGAGCGGCGGAUGGGUGAGUAACACGUGGGGAACCUGCCCCAUAGUCUGGGAUACCACUUGGAAACAGGUGCUAAUACCGGAUAAGAAAGCAGAUCGCAUGAUCAGCUUUUAAAAGGUGGCGUAAGCUGUCGCUAUGGGAUGGCCCCGCGGUGCAUUAGCUAGUUGGUAAGGUAAAGGCUUACCAAGGCGAUGAUGCAUAGCCGAGUUGAGAGACUGAUCGGCCACAAUGGGACUGAGACACGGCCCAUACUCCUACGGGAGGCAGCAGUAGGGAAUCUUCCACAAUGGGCGCAAGCCUGAUGGAGCAACGCCGCGUGCGUGAAGAAGGUCUUCGGAUCGUAAAGCGC
rnacentral:rRNA from 1 species